AGCGAACGCUGGCGGCAGGCUUAACACAUGCAAGUCGAGCGGGCAUCCUUGUGGUGUCAGCGGCAGACGGGUGAGUAACGCGUGGGAACGUGCCCUUCGGUUCGGAAUAACUCAGGGAAACUUGAGCUAAUACCGGAUACGCCCUUUUGGGGAAAGGUUUACUGCCGAAGGAUCGGCCCGCGUCUGAUUAGCUAGUUGGUGAGGUUAUGGCUCACCAAGGCGACGAUCAGUAGCUGGUCUGAGAGGAUGAUCAGCCACACUGGGACUGAGACACGGCCCAGACUCCUACGGGAGGCAGCAGUGGGGAAUAUUGGACAAUGGGGGCAACCCUGAUCCAGCCAUGCCGCGUGAGUGAUGACGGCCUUAGGGUUGUAAAGCUCUUUUCUCCGUGACGAUAAUGACGGUACCGGAGGAAUAAGCCCCGGCUAACUUCGUG
rnacentral:rRNA from 1 species